rnacentral:tRNA from 1 species
AGCGUUACGCCGGAUGAACGGAAAUCAUUGAUGUUGAUUAAUAUGGGAUGUUACUAUCUCUGACGCUAC